rnacentral:tRNA from 2 species
ACUUUCUUAGUAUAAUAAGUAUAUCUGACUUCCAAUCAGCUAGCUCUAGUUAAAUCUAGAAGAAAGUA